UUCUCUUCUCUCCUUCUCGAUCUCUCCUCUCGUUUUCUCCUCACGCGCGACUGAGAGAGAGGGAGCGAGGGCGGCGAUGGGGAGGCGGCCUGGCUAGGGCGCUAGGCGACGGGGCGGCGCGGCCGUGGGCGACGGUGUCCGGCGGCGCCCGGAGGGAAGGCGACAUGGCGGCUGGGCGGCGGGGAAGUGGGGAGGGCCGGCGGCCAAGAGGCGGCGUGUGGCGGCGGCCUAGCGCAGUGGGGGAGGAGGGGCCGGCGGCUGGGUGACGGCGGCGGCCUGGCACGGUUGGCCGGUGGUGAGGGAGGGAGGGAAGGCCGGCGGUGGGGAGAUGGAGACCGGCAGCGGUGGGGAUGGUUGAGAGGGCGGCAGCGGUGGGUAAUGGAGAGGAGACCGAGGAAGAAGCUCGGCGGCGGGGCGGGAGGAUGUCGGGGUCGGCGCGCGCUACGGAGGCGGCGUCGGCCGGACUCGUGAAUGGUGGGCGCGACGAUGAUGCCGCGCGUAUGGCGCGGCUGACAGCGCGGCCACUCGGCGGCGUCCUGGGCGAGGCCAAGACGUCGGUGGGGCAGCGGCCGGGCGUGUAGGCGCAGGCGACGGCCUGGCGACGGCGCGGCCGGGCGCGUCGGAUGGGGGACGGUGCGCGGACCGGCUACGCGUCGGCCACGCAAGGAGGUGGCGACGGAGCGCACGAUGGUGGCACCGCGCCGGGACAGCGACAAGCGAAUGGAAAAACAGAGAGAAGGCGAUCGACAACACUAAGGGACGACAAUGGGAAGGAGGGCAAGGAAGGGAAGGAGCAGAUGCUCACACUGCGGCAGCCGAGUAGCGGCACACCGUGCGUGGUCGACGGGCGUCGACGAUCGGCUCGCGGAUCAUCCUAGGCUUGCUGUUCGUCCUCGCACACCACGUGUUCGAUCGUCGGUAACAAGCGAACACACAGUGUUAGGGGAUAAAUGUCAGCGGGUUAGUGCAAGGUAAGAGUUAGGGAGUUAGAAGUUAGCGAAACGGAAAGUGGAAGAGUCAGUGAAACAGAAAGUAAAGGGUUAGCUGGUUAGUGAGUCUAAGGGUUAGAUGUUAAAGUUAGUCGUUCUCGGGUGAUCAAUGGUGCGGCGGCCUAUCCGUCCUCUUGCUCAACUGAGGCCCAGCCGGAGCCGGCCGCGGCGGAGCAAAUGGAGGGAUGGCAGCUUGUGCACGGGACUGAGGAGCGCAGUGGCAGAGCUCGAGCGUGGAGGUGGAGAAGAAAUGGAGAGGAGCCGAGCUGCUGCUGUCUUUGGUGGGGUUCAUAUAGGUUUGCUGGCUGCCUGUGUAUGGGAGGCAAUGUGAGGGUAGGCGGGGAGCAGCUCUGAAUGUCGACAUCGCCACAGUACCAGGCAAUUCAUCGAACAGCUUCUGUGCAGGCAGCUGGUUCGGCUGGGGAGGGAAAACAGACUUUGGCUGAGAAGGUUGCUUGGUGGCUGUAGCUCUGAGGUUAGGGAGGCAAAACAGACUUUCUGUGAGAUGAGCUGGGCUGACAGGGAAGGGAGGUGGCCUGGUUGCAAUAGGAACUUUUGCAUAUUGCAGGGAUUGAAUUGGAAUGACAUAUGUAUUAAUGGAACUUGUAAUUUGGACUGUAUUUAUAUUUUGGAAUGUAUAAUCUGGACAUUUAUUUGGCUCUGUAUAUCGGACUGUGCUUGUAUGGUACUAUGGAGUGUAUGGUUGUGUUCGGUAUAGAAA